UUUUCCCUAAUCCAAAAAUCAAACUUUUAUUGUGCUCUAUUUCUUGCUAGAGUGACCGAAUUCCCCAAGAACCGCCACCUACAAGGGGUUCCUGAUUCAAGAAAACAAGAGAUCUGGAAUUGUGUUCUUGAGCAUCAAAAGAGGUAAGUGGUUAAGUGAUUAGAUUAGAUAUAUAUGUAGCUGACAGUUGUGAUUUUAUUGUUGGUGAUGAUUCUAUAUGAUUGUGUGGUAAUUGCUACUGGAAUUUUGUAAAGGAUUCAUAAAUUUGAUGUUGCAAUAGCAUGCUAUAAUUCUGCUAGUGUAUCAUGAAUUUGUUGAGUAA